rnacentral:tRNA from 1 species
GGUGUCGUGGUGUAGUUGGUUAUCACGUUAGUCUAACACACUAAAGGUCUCCGGGUUGAGUCUGGACGACGCUA